ACAACAGCCCCUUCCACCACCACCAGUGGCAGUAACAGCAGUUGGCGUCACAGACCGACAAUGCUUUCCUUAGAAACGAGGGUAGUUACGGUGGUAACCAGGAACCAAAUAAAAAAUAAAAACAUUCAUGUCACGCUAGGAGAGAAAGUACGGAAGGCUUAUAUAUAGAAGACAAAAAACACAGAUGGAAAAGAUCGCCAAGUCAGCCAAGAGAGGAUAAAACAUACAUACAUUCAUGUGUGUGUACAUGUGUACAUAUAUAUAUGUAUAUACAUGUGAAACCCGUCUGAAGGCAAUUAUUUCGAAGAUUACUCAAGAUUAAGAAGAAAACCAAGUGCUGCUGUAAAAAGAGAAGAGAAUAGUCGCUUAUCUCUGCUGCCUUCCAACAAGAGCAACAGCAACAAUUGAAAUUAAUAAUAAUAAUAUAUAAUAAUAAUAAUAAUAAUAAUAAUAAACAGAGUACAUAUAUUAAGUGUAAAUUUCGGUACCUUCAAGAAUUCCCAAUUGGUAUUACAUCUGUUUCGGUUUUCCUAGCAGACAUGCCUUUAGCCAGAACUCCUCUUGAAAUUGCACAGGUGUGCAAGCUAAUUCAGCUGGUUUACGAAAAGGACAAAGUUGAAAUCCAAAAACUGAUCGGCGAAGGAAUCCCUCACCUAAUUAACUACAAUGAACCGACUUUCGGCCGGACAGCUCUCAUAGUCGCCACUAUGUCCAACAGCGACAACAUUCUCGAGUUUCUGCUCGGGCUCGGUGCCC